GAGAUGAAAUGAUGAGAUGAAAUGACGAAAUGAUGAUGAGAUGAGAUGAUGAGAUGAAAUUUUGAGAUUGAAAUGGUGAGUAGAAAUGAUGAGAUGAAAUGAUGAGACGAAAUGACAAAAUUGAAAAGAAAUUGAAAGGAGAUGAGAUGAGAUAAAAUGAGAUGAAAUGAUGAGAUGAUGGAUGAAAUGAUGAGAUGAAACGAGAUGAAAUGAUGAGAUGAAAUGAAAUGAAUAAUGAAAUGAUAUGAAAUAAUGAAAUUGAAAUGAAAAUGAGAUGAUAGAGAUGAAAUGAGAUGAAUGAGAUGAGAAAUGAGGAUGAAAUGAGAAUGAAAGAUGAGAUGAAAUGAGUAUGAAAUAAAUGAGAUGAAAAUGAUGAAUGAAAUGAUAACUGAAAUGAAAUGAAUGAAAAAUGAAAUGAAAUAAUAAUUGAGAAUGAGAUGAAAUUAAUUGAGAUGAAUAUGAGAUGAAUGAUAAUAGAAUGGAAUGGUAAAUUGAUGAAUAAUAAUGAUGAGAGUGAAAUGAUGAAAUGCUGAGGAUGAGUGAAAUGAGAUUGAAAGAUGAGAUGAAAAAUGAGAUGAGAUGAAAUGAAAUGAUGAGAUAAAUGAUGAGAUAAGAUGUGAGAUGAAUGAAAUGAAGUGAAAAUGAAAUGAAAUAAAUGAAAUUGAAAUGAGAUGAGAUGAAAUGAGAUAAUGAUGAGAUGAAUGAGAAGAAAUGAGAUGAAAUGAUGAAUGAUGAGAUGAAAAAUGAGAUGAAAUGAUGAUGAAUGAAAUGAAUGAAAAUAAUGAAAUAAAUGAUGAAUUAUAAAUUGAAAUGAAAUGAAAGAUGAGAUGAGAUGAAAUGAUGAGAUGAAAUGUUGAAAUGAAAUGAAGAGAUGUGACAUGAAAUGAUGAGCUGAAAUGAUGAGAUGAAAUGAAAUGAAAUGAGAUUAAAUGAUGAGAUGAAAAAUGAUGAGAUGAAAUAGAGAUAAUAAUGAGAUGAAUGAGAUGAAAAUGAAUUAGGUGAAUAAUGAAGAUGAAAUAAUGAAUAAAAUUGAAUGAGAUGAGAAGAAAUGAGAUGAAAUGUUGAAAAGAAAGGAGGAAAUGAUGAGAUGAGAUGAAAUGAUGAGAUGAAAUGAAUUGAGAUGAAAUGAGAUGAAAAAUGAUAUGAAAAAUGAUAUCAAAAAUGAUGAAAAUGAAAGAUGAUAUGAAAUGACAUAAUGAUAUGAAAUGAGAAAUGAAAUAUGAAUGAAAUGAUGAAUGAAAUAUGAUGAAAUGGAAAUGAGAUGAGAUGAAAUUGAUGAAUGAUGAGAUGAAAUGAUGAGAUGAAUGAAAUGGAGAUGAGAUGAUAGAUGAAAUAUGAGAUGAAAAUGAUGAGAUGAAAUGAAAUGAUGAGGUGAAGUGAUGCACUGUCACGUGUGUGUCUUUUUCCCAACCAACAAAAAAUUAUAAUCAUUAAUUUUAAUUUUAUUAUUUAAGAAUAUUCUUAAGAGUUGAAGGAAAAAUAAUAUCUGUACAUUAUGGUUACAAUUAAGUAUAAAUAAUACAUAAAUACAUUAAAACUUACAAAGAAUAUGUUUUGGAAUCGAAUAUACCAUGCUUCUGUGAUGACAGUUAUUUCAUGCUGGUUGUCACAAUUUUACAUGAAAAACUAAUGAAAAGUUUUUAACUGUUUCUAAAAUAAGUUUCCAAACAGUUUUACAUUCAAAAUAUGAAAAAGAUGUCUUUGUGUUCUUAAUCUGAUGAGAUUUCACACUCUGCACAUGAUAAUUGUUAGAUUUUAUUGUGUUGAUAAAUUGUAUAUCAAAUAAAAAAUGUUAUUACCUCUUAAAUUAGGAUUUUUAGGUGAUAUAGGCAGAAAGGAAGGCAAGUUUUAUAACUUUGUCUAAAUGAACUUUCUAAAUGCUGAGUAUUAAAAGAUAGCAUGUCUAUAAUCACAUGUAUAUAUUACUGUAUGACCUAGGACCAAUCAAAACCGUUACCUCUGAUAACAUUAUAUUGUGCCCAGUAUAAAAUAGAUAUAAUAAUACCUCAAACUUAAAUCCAGGCAUUGUCAUUGAAUAUCUUAAGAAUAUGCAGCAAAGGUGCUUUUAAAAAUACAAGCUAGUGAUUGUACUAAAUUUGUAAUCACAUAGGAUAGUGGGUCAUUUUAAGAAUAUUAUUGUCAAUCUAUAAAACUGUGGAGAUGUCUUUCUUUUUAUGUUUUCUUUAAUUUCUUUCAUUAAUAUUUGUCAUUUUUGUUGUCAAAUCUUUUACUUCCUUGGUUAAAUUUAUUUCUAAGUACUUUUUGUAGCUAUUGUGAAAGGAAUUGCUUUCUUAAUUUCUUGUUUCAGCUAGUUUACUAUCAAUAUAUAGAAAUGCUACUGA
rnacentral:lncRNA from 1 species